GACGUAGGGUGCGAGCGUUGCCCGGAUUUAUUGGGCGUAAAGGGCGCGUAGGCGGUCACGCACGUCCGUUGUGAAAUCGCUCGGCUCAACUGGGCGGGGUCAGCGGAUACGGCGUGGCUGGAGCAAGCUAGGGGGCAAUGGAAUUCCCGGUGUAGUGGUGGAAUGCGUAGAUAUCGGGAGGAACACCAGUGGCGAAGGCGGUUGCCUGGAGCUUUGCUGACGCUGAUGCGCGAAAGCGUGGGGAGCGAUCCGG
rnacentral:rRNA from 1 species